UAAAGAUCUUACUUCUUUGUCCUCCCACAACCACUUCUGGUCCAAGUAAAGACACCAGCACUGCCAGGCUCCGGAGAGUGAUCGCCACAAUGGAAUCACUGGUAUCACGAAGGCCCAGCAGUACCUACAAGCAGAAUUGGGCGGCAGCACCUUUCUCAGUCUCUCCUCAUCCUGCUUUUAUAAGGAUUGACACACCCCCACUGCCAACUUGGUUCUGACCUGUGGCAAGAUGACUUUCUUUAGCUGUUCCUGAGUAAAGUGCUCCACAUAGGCCUCAAUGUGGGACAGUAACACCAUCCGCACAUGCUCCUCGUGGACCUCGAACAACUGGAGAAGCACAGGGAUCACUCGUGACUGGAACAGCGCUGGCGAGAGCAAGCAAGGAGUUUCUCCUGGUGCAUUCUCUACCCCAAAUCAGAGGGUACAGACAGAACAGGCGUUCAGUGAAAAGAGUAAAGAACAUAAUUCAUCAACUGAGUCCAGAACCUUAUACAUAUUUUAUGUAUCUGUAAAUUUUAAGCCCCGAUCUGAAGGUAUUUCCUUCUGCUGGUUGAAAUAACUUCCAGACUCUAUUGUCUCAAGCAUUCUCUACAUCCUGCUCCUUUCCUGCUUAGUGAGUCUGCCACAAGGCAAGUCUUUAACAAGCACUGAUGUGAUUCAUGGCUUCUCUCUCUAAAAUCCACAGUGAGGAUGGAAAGCUAUAAGGAAAAUUCAUUACUAAAAUAAAAAUGUUCAAUCCAGAGAUAAAA